rnacentral:lncRNA from 1 species
AAGGCCACACAGGAGGCGUGGAGGCAGCAAGGAGGCCACACAGCGUGGUGGUAAGAACCCACGUGCGGUCCCACGCCAACCCCCGCUCAUCCCACCACUACUCCUCACUUGCUGUGUGACCCCAGGCAAACCACUCCCCCGUCUGAGUCUCCGUUCCCUCAUCUGUGAAAUGGGAUUGGUAUUGGACCUUCCUUGCUGAGUCUCUGGGAAACGUGAAUGAAACCCUGGAUGGACAUACACUCAGUCAGAGGCCCAGCCUACGCCAAAGGGUCAGAAGGAGGCACGCUCAAGGGCUCCUCCCAAGGCUUUGGCAUGUUCCAGAAAAUGUGGCCUCUGACCUUCUAAGUCACCAGGGCCUUCCAGCCCCCGAGGGAGCCCUGCUUGCAGAGACUCGGCAUAUAAUGAAAAAUCGGUGAGAAACCCAAUCUGGGGCUAUCAGGCGGAGCGCUCAGCCCUCGGCCUCCUUGUCCCCUUGAUGGGCCGGACCCCUUUCCCUUCUCACACAUGGCACAUUCCCAGCACCAGUUGGAUCCUCCCAGCUGAAAAAUAAAAGUCCUUCAAAC